GUCACAAUGACUCUCGGCAACGGAUAUCUCGGCUCUUGCAUCGAUGAAGAACGUAGCGAAAUGCGAUACUUGGUGUGAAUUGCAGAAUCCCGUGAACCAUCGAGUCUUUGAACGCAAGUUGCGCCCAAAGCCAUUAGGCUAAGGGCACGCCUGCCUGGGUGUCACUAA
rnacentral:rRNA from 1 species